UCCGAAUUGGUGUAGUGGCUAACAUUUGACGCUCUCAUUGGCAUCCCACCAACUAGAACCGUCAAGCCCGGGGUUCGAUUCCCCGAUUCGGAG
rnacentral:tRNA from 1 species